UUAUUUUAAGUUAAUAGUGUACUGGUUAUAACUAAUAUCAAAUCUUUACUAAUACUUGAUUUCUUUUUAUGAUGGUUGACUUUGCGAGAACUAACGGAGCAUUAGUGUCAAGAAUGGGCUGAGAUUCGAAUUCAGUCGGUUUUUCGCUCUUUUUUGACAAAAAUGGAUGCCAAAAGCAGGGAAGUACAAUCUACAGGAAAAAGCAACACUUUACUAUUGUGUGAAAGACAGCUUGCUUGCUGCAGUCUCUAUAAUAUAUCAACACUCUACAAACACUGUUUGAAAGACAGCACUGUUUGAAAGACAGCAUGCUUGAAAGACAGCAUGCUUGCUUCAGUCUCUAUAAAUAAUUCAGAGAUAUCAACACUCUACAAACACUUUACAAACUCUCAACUACACUCAACUGAAAUUAAUAUAUCAACUCUUUGCAUCUGGAUCUUGCGUUGUUUCUCGGCUCUCACAUCAAGGUUUUAAAAUUUUUGUCGGCUUUUCACAUCUCCCUCUUGCAUUGUUGUAAGUUCUUUCAAAUUUCUUGGUUUUUUUGUAACUUUUAACUGUAGCUUUUAACUUUAGAAGGUUGUAAAUGUUGAA